GGUCCCUUGGCUCCAGCAUUUGGUGCUCGGCAACGAUCAGGCAUGAUAGCGCGGGCCAUGCCCAUUUGCCCCAUGUAAUUUAAGAUACACUGCCCCGGAAAAUGGAGGCUCCAUUCCUCUGGCACGGACGGUUCCGGCUUGUGCCCUGCGGCACUUUUUUUGUCAUUUUCAUGCGAGGUAGCCGUGCGUGGCUGGCAUGCUCUUGACCUGUGGCGGGCCAUGCAACAUGGCAUGUCUGGCUCUUGGUCCAUGUGGUGUGGCUUGUGUCUUUUGCCUUGCAUUUGCCAGCCGCGUUGUGCCGCGCUGCACGCUCUCGUCCGAUGGGCGCAGAGUGUGGCGUGGGUCUGUUUGGGCUCAGCCCCACCUGCCUAGCUCACCUGCCGCUUAUUGUCUCGGUUUGCUGCCAUUUGAAUUUUUCCCAGCCAGCUCCCUCCCUCCCUCUCCGCCGCUCCCUCUUCUCCCCUCCUUCCCUCUCUCUCACUCUCUCUCUCUCUCCCCGCCCUCCCUGCCGUCUGGAUCCAGGCAAGUCUGAUAAAGUUCCAUUCCAGACAACAGCCGCAUUGCGUUGCUACAGCAUAGACAGCGGCCCAGGGAGAGAGAGAGAGAGAGAGACAUACAGCCAGAGCUAAGCGAUGAUGGGGAGAAAGAGAGAGGAGAGCAUCCCUCAAUAGGCACAACCACCCGUGAACCACAGCCAAAGCCAAGGACGGAGGAUGGCAAGCGAGGAGGGCAGAAGGAGAAGAGGACCAGAACAGGUUAACCUUCCCUGCAUGGGGAGUUCACCAGCCCUGACCUGCAGGGUGGGAGAGGGAGGGAAUUGGCAAGGGAAUAAGGAGGACCAGGAUGGAGGCUGGAGGAAAGGGGCUGGGUGGGUGAGUGCAAGAAACAGGCGAUAAAGAAUAAGGGGAGGGGAAGGGGCUGACACAGAGCAACAAGGAGGAGAGAGGCGAUGAGGCAGAGGUGCUGGAGAGGAUGGUGGGUGGGGGGACAGGUGGCAUGUCAGGGGCAAGAGGGGAAAAGGGAGAUGGGUCAGCCUUUGCACACAAAGAUUGGGUGGUGAAGGGGAUUGGCAGGUAGGUUAAUGACCUUAAGUUUGGUGGUGAGGAAGGGGGAAUGUGUGGGGUUUUUGUGUGGGAGGAGGCGACUCACCUUCCUUAGAAAGAUGAGAAGCCCGAUAGCUGUGGAAUGCUAAAUUUCCAUCCUGCCUGCCCCCUCCAGGGGCAAGUGGAAGCAAUGAUGAGAACAGAAAGAAGCACUCUUUCUCUGGGGUUCAACAGUUGCCACCUGGGGCAUCUCUCUCCCUUGUUCUCUCUCUCUCUUUCAUAUGUCAUGUGUGUCUUUCUCCAAGGAAGGCGAAAUGCAUGCGCAGUGUUCCCAUCCCUCCCACCCAGCCAAAUCACCGGGGGUUUCUUAGAGAGGUCCCAGCUGCUACCACCCCUGUGGGCACUUCCUGACAUAACGGACCCGUGGACCCGUGACCUCAUUGAGGGAUCCAGUGCAUGACCCCCCCAAAAAAAAAAUUGCCUCCCCCCACUCCAAAAUACAAGAUGGACACGCUGUAUGCACAUUGGAACGUACACACACACCUCGGGGGCCACACCCACCCAAGGGAUUCCCAUCCUCAGAUAUACACAAACCUCUUUUGAAAACACUAUUGGACUCUUCUCUCAGGGGGAAAAAUGUGCGCUCUCUUUCACACACACACACACACACACACACACACGAAGAGUCCUCCAGGACUGGUCAAGGAGGAAAAAAUCUGCAUGUGAGGGAGCUGGGUGUGGGUGGGUGUGGGAACAGAAAGACUGAGAAAGCGGUUCUUUAGGUUAUUCGUCACAGAUCGCCUUCCGUUGGGUGCAUGGAUAACUACUGUUUGUGUGUGGUGGGGUGAGCUGGAUUUGGCAAGUUGAAAGCAAUGGGAAUUAUGUGGCACAAGUUCCGUAUAACAAGGAGAGAGGGGUGUCUGUGCCGUGCCACAUGCGUGUGCCAUGAAUCAAUCCAUUGUGCACCACGGAGGCAGCGUGCUUGAAAGGGGCAGUUUGGCAGAGGUCUGUGAGUGCGCGGAGAGAGGGUAUUGUUUGCGGAGAGGAUGGCGUGGUUUGCGGGCAGUGGUAUCGAUGUCAAGGUGAAUGCAUAAAAGAGAUCUCUGUGCGGGGAAACAUGUGUGAGCCUGUGUGUGCCCGGGGUGUGAGUGCGAAGGAGCGGGCAGGCGUGUUUGCUGUGCGUGCCGUGGCUGCAAAUGUUCAAAUCCUUGGUAUUCCUCUGGACAGAACAUGCUCACAUAACACAGACCCCAAGCAAAAGUAUCUGUUGGGGAGUUGGACCCUGUCUCUGCCUGGAGUGUCUGCAUCAUAGCAUGUUUGGAAGAUGGCUUGUAUCCAGCACAGUCUUGGGCUGAAGGAAGUUUGGUGUAUGUGUGCCCAUUUUUGUGUGUGUGUUGUGCAUACAUCACAAAUUGGCCGUAGAGAGAUUUGUGUACGUGGUUGCUGACUUUGGGGAGGCUGGUGGCGUUACCUGCAGAUGGUUGGGGUUGUCCAUUAGAUAUACUUUUUGGAAAACACAAAUGUGCUGGUGCAGGUGUCUCCUAUUCUAUCACAGAGCCGUUCGUGAUGUGGCUUUUGGCUCACCUUGCCCAACGCCUGCGCCCAGCGAUGGCAACAAGAAACACACCCUGACCAGGUGAGUUAGUGGGUGGGGAGAAACACCCUUUUGUGUUCGAGGAUUGGGCUCCAGAUCUCCCUCAGACUUGGCUGGUUAUGCUUUUCCAUGCAGCCCUGAUCAGUGUCCCUCGCCUAACCCAGCGAGUCUCCGUGGCGCUGCUCCCUGUGGACUUCUCAAAGGCCACCGAGGACUGUUUCACACGAUGGCUGCAGUCAGGUGCCCACCGCUUCUUUCGGCUUGUGGGUCAGCUGACAUGCUCGCCCUGAGCAGACGCUGCCACUUUCUCACGUCGCCUCAGAUCAACGCCCGUUGGCAGCAGACGAGGCAGACAGCUUGCCACAAUCAGGGGCUGAAGCAGCGGCCAUGAGAACCACAGUUGUAGAGACUCAGCCCUGAGCGAGCUGCUGGUUUUCCGUGAGGAGGGAAGUCUGUGCCUUGGUGGGCUGGGGGGGGGGCGCGGUCCUCUCACACAAGGGCUGAGUUCAACAGGGCCCCAGAGCCUCUCUUGAGCUUUCUGGGCCAGCACAUUUCCCUGACUUGAAGCCUUCCCAGAGAUUGAGCCGGCCAGAGGAGUCAGCCCCCUGACUGCAUUGAAAUCCACUUCACCAUUCGCAGCAGCAGGGGGACAGGCGCAGUUCUGUGUCCUCUGGCAUACGCUGGAACAUUCCAGAAAUGUAGGCCCAUCCCUUAUCCAGAGUGUAAGGGAGUCUCUCUGGAAUCUUAGCAGGAACUACGGCCCAAAAUGCAGAAAUGCCAAGAGCACAGCGGGUACAGGCUGAAGCUCUCCCCCCUAUAAUAUGCUACCCAACACUGAGGUUGAAACAUCCCGGUGGCUUCUCCUUGCCCACCCACUUUCCGCAAACUUCUCAACUGGCGCUUAUCGAAAUGGAGAUCAGGCCCAGGCUUUUCUCCAAAUUGAAAGCAUCCUUUAGAAAACUUUCUAAGAAUGGCGCCCUUCAGAACUUCCAAAUUUCCCACAAUAGUUCUUUUAAUUAAAUGUGUCUUGCCUAGCCUGGUUUUGUUUUCAUAUUUGUUCAAUGCUUU